AACUAGAUAGAAUUUUGAAGAUUCGAGAUACCCCCAGAUUCGUACAUAUCUAAAAAUGCAAUUUAAUGCACCACUUAAGUCAUGCAAUUAAACACAAUAUAUGAAAGGAAGAUACCAUGAAAAUACUAUUUUUCCAUUCAUUUCACUGUUCUAGUCUGAGACAAACUGCCCAGGGCAUUUUAGAAUUCUCGGUACUCCAAAAUUGUUUUUAAAUGAUUUGGGAUUAGAUGGCAUCUAAAUCCUUUUCAAAAGGAUUUGUACGCUAUGCACUUGGCAUAAUGGAUUUCGGGUUUUUUUCUCCAGAACAGCAGUUUACAGAAUAAAUCAAUAGGGGUGUCUGUUUCACAGGCUUGUCACUCCUACCCAGAGCCUCAUCUCUUUCUAGGUCUUUCCCCACGCCAUCCUUCAGCCUCAUUAACCUGUCUGCUGGCACUCUGUAAAAAGCAAAGGCAAGACCAUUUCAGACUUCUUUGAACCAGAGUGGGAUACUUGUAAAGGAUGCUUUAAAUGGUUUCAUAAUUUAGUAAGCAAAACUGUCUAACGCCAGAUAUGACUGGCAUACACAUACUGCAGCCAAUUGUCAUACCCCAUCCCGCUUAAGCCAUUUUUAGUGAGGCAUUUUAGCUUUCAUCCUCAAAAAGUCAGAUUCUCUGGAGAGCAGAAAUGAUAGGAACUUCUAACAGAUAAAAACAUUAGAUAAUAUGAAAAUUUAAAAAUAGCACAGGCUAUUACCAGACAUUCAGAACUCCUGGACAAGUUACUUAACCUCUAAGCCUCAAUUUCAACCCCCUUUUUUUUUUUAAUGAUAAAGAAAAAAAAAGUAGUACCUUUCCUCAAAAGGAAGGGGGUUAAAGGAAACUUUCCAGAUAUGGUGAAGAACACAUAAAAGCUCAACACUAAUUAUGAUGAUGCCAGAAUUCCUAUGUCUUCAUGAAUCGAUCCUUCUUGACACAUUACCUGACUAGUCUUGAGGACUGGGCCUCAAUUACCUCAUCUUUAAGCUAUACAUCCAUCUCUGAGGCUAUGGCUUUCUUGCUGCUGCUGCUUUGUUGCUUCAGUCAU
rnacentral:lncRNA from 1 species